AUUGAACGCUGGCGGCAUGCUUUACACAUGCAAGUCGAACGGUAACAGGCCGCAAGGUGCUGACGAGUGGCGAACGGGUGAGUAAUGCAUCGGAACGUGCCCAGUCGUGGGGGAUAACGCAGCGAAAGCUGCGCUAAUACCGCAUGCGAUCUAUGGAUGAAAGCGGGGGACCGUAAGGCCUCGCGCGAUUGGAGCGGCCGAUGUCAGAGUAGGUAGUUGGUGGGGUAAAGGCUCACCAAGCCAACGAUCUGUAGCUGGUCUGAGAGGACGACCAGCCACACGGGGACGGAGACACGGCCCAGACUCAUACGGGAGGCAGCAGUGGGGAAUUUUGGACAAUGGGCGCAAGCCUGAUCCAGCAAUGCCGCGUGCAGGAAGAAGGCCUUCGGGUUGUAAACUGCUUUUGUACGGAACGAAACGGUCCGGGUUAAUACCCUGGGCUAAUGACGGUGCCGUAAGAAUAAGCACCGGCUAACUACGUGCCAGCAGCCGCGGUAA
rnacentral:rRNA from 1 species